GUUAAUUGGGAACGCACCUGCAUAUUGAUUGCAGGGUGGCGUCAGCCCGUAUAAAGCUAAGCCGGUGUUUGUCUGGAUCAUUCCUCCCGUGCAUUUGGCGUAAAGCAGCAGUAAAUGCUGGCACACUGCGACGGACUGAUCAGCAAGAGUAGAUCAUAUGACAGCUACAGCGCGGCAGUUUCUGUUUUAUUUCGGCGUUGCGGAGAGGUGCUCGUGUUAUCCCCACCAGUGAGAGUGCUCCUCCGGUCCUGGGGGUUUGAUUGCUGCAUUCAUCUCUCCGUGGCAAAUCGCCUAACCUUAAUCAGAAGAGUGAAACGCCUUCCCAGCCGCUGUUGUGAGGACUCCUCCUCGGUGGAGCCUGCUGUCUUGUCUUGUCUUAUCCUGUUUUAUCUUGUCGUGAGACUGUUUUUAUUAAGUAGGCCUACCUUUUCCUGGUUCGCCUGGUUUUAUUCUAUUUUAUUCUGGACUGUUGCUUGUACCCACGCUUCUGUGAUCGGGCUGAAGCGAUCCUCUGCCCGAGUGUCGUGCCGGCAACUUUAAAUCGCCCCAGUUGCCGGUCUCAGCCUGCGGGAGGCCAGACCAGCUUGCGAUUGAGGCUUGGAUAAUUACUACCAGCACAAGUGGUAGUUUGAUCCGUGGGGCAUAAGCCUUCCCGUGUGUGUGUGUGUGUGUGUGUGUGUGUGUGUGUGUGUGUGUGUGAUUUUUUUUUUUUUUUUUUAAUUAAAGUGUGGUUUAGUUUCUUAUGAUCUGUAGCCAGCCUGACGCUCAGUGUCCUUUUAUUCUUUUAACGUAUUUUUCUGUAUUAUUUCAGUGAACGGAGGACGUGCCAGAGGCCCUGGGACCUCAGGUGGUGGGUCGUUUUCACACUUUCUUUUGUACAGCACCGGGUGGGCUGCAGUGAUUCUCUUUUUGUGAUUUUUUUUUUUUUUUUUCUUUUUCUUUUGGGUCCAUGGCUGCUGGUAAGUCCAAGUUCCAUCAUUGUUUUAUUGUACUUUUAGGAUACUGUCAACAAAGACACUGUUUUGUUUUCUUAAUAUUUUAUUCUUUAUUUCUUUUAACAUAAAUAAAACUGUUUUAAUAUUGGAGCCAACCUGCCUCUAUGUGCAUCCUUGAAUCUGUGCGGCCUCUUUUUAUUCCUUUUAUCUCUUUCUUAAACAUAUAUUUCCUGGGGGUGAAAUUCCCCUAAGUGGCGUUGUCAUUUUAUUUCUUUUAUAACCCCGCCGACCACUUGGUCACAUAAGUAAAGAGAAACAACCGUCCAUCAUUACUUUAAGAACUGAAGAUCAGUCAGUCCGGAUCAUUGCUGAAACUUUGUGUCCCCAAGUGCAGUCGCAAAAACCAUCAAGACUACAAUGGAACUGGCUCACAUAAGGACCGCCCCAG